rnacentral:rRNA from 1 species
CAGCAGCCGCGGUAAUACGAAGGGUGCAAGCGUUACUCGGAAUUACUGGGCGUAAAGCGUGCGUAGGUGGUGAUUUAAGUCCGUUGUGAAAGCCCCGGGCUCAACCUGGGAACUGCAUCCAAAACUGGCGAGCUAGAGUAUGGCAGAGGGUGGUGGAAUUUCCUGUGUAGCGGUGAAAUGCGUAGAUAUAGGAAGGAACACCAGUGGCGAAGGCGACCACCUGGGCUAAUACUGACACUGAGGUGCGAAAGCGUGGGGAGCA